AAUGAAGAAACUUCCAAACGCAUGGGAAGCCUUUCCGAACAAAAAUAGAUGCGGCAAUCGUCACAUAUGUGAUGCGUGCGUGGUUGUUCAUGCUACUUCCGUUUGGUUUAUUUUAUUUCUUUAAUCUUUUACUUCACUUCGGGCUUUGACUAAAAACAAUAAAAUUUGCAAGGUACAUACUUGUAUUUUGAUAUUAUCCAGAUACGAGUUUUAAGUAGACAAAGUUUGAACAAAAUUCCAAUGAAUGCGAUUGCAAACUGCCCGCUAGCGACGCAGUAAAGUUGAAUCAUGUUAAAUAGAAGGCGAAUAAAGAAAUAUACUUAACGACCGAUGAAUCGUCGGUUAAGUUGCAUCGGGGAGAGAUAUACGGCGGGGUGGCUAAUGACUCUUGUUGUGCAAAAAGUACGAAUGGAAAGAAGAAUAAAUUGAGCAGGAAUUAAAGUUUAUGCAUGGUGCAUCGAUGUUUCAUGUACGAGCAAAUGCGAGGGGUGGACUUCGUUACACUUCAUUUAUUUAUUUCGGUCUUCUGAUGUUUACGCAUCGUUAUCAUUAGCAAUAAGGAAUUUGCUACUUUUGUCGAGUUUUAUUAAACUUAGAUAUUUCUAUCUAUUUACAUGUCUUUUUUUGUCAAUUUUAUUCACUAAUCAAUUUUAUGCACCUAAUGAAUAAAAACGAAGAUUUGUAAAUUUUCAUUACUAAAACUUGUAGCACCUAUUUUAGUAUAA